UACAGAGGUCUCAAGCGUUGUUCGGAUUCAUUGGGCGUAAAGGGUGCGUAGGCGGCGCGGUAAGUCGGGUGUGAAAUCUUGGAGCUUAACUCCGAAACUGCAUUCGAUACUGCCGUGCUUGAGGACUGGAGAGGAGACUGGAAUUUACGGUGUAGCGGUGAAAUGCGUAGAUAUCGUAAGGAAGACCAGUGGCGAAGGCGGGUCUCGUGGACAGUUCCUGACGCUGAGACACGAAAGCGUGGGUAGCAAACAGGAUUAGAUACCC
rnacentral:rRNA from 1 species